UACGGAGGGUGCAAGCGUUAUCCGGAUUUACUGGGUUUAAAGGGUGCGUAGGUGGGUCUGUAAGUCAGUGGUGAAAUCUCCGGGCUUAACCCGGAAACUGCCAUUGAUACUAUAGGUCUGAAUAUCCUGGAGGUGAGCGGAAUAUGUCAUGUAGCGGUGAAAUGCUUAGAUAUGACAUAGAACACCAAUUGCGAAGGCAGCUCACUACGGGAUUAUUGACACUGAGGCACGAAAGCGUGGGGAUCAAACAGG
rnacentral:rRNA from 1 species